rnacentral:rRNA from 1 species
UACGAAGGGUACAAGCGUUAAUCGGAAUUACUGGGCGUAAAGGGUGCGUAGGCGGUUCGUUAAGUCUGUCGUGAAAUCCCCGGGCUCAACCUGGGAAUGGCGAUGGAUACUGGCGAGCUAGAGUGUGUCAGAGGAUGGUGGAAUUCCCGGUGUAGCGGUGAAAUGCGUAGAGAUCGGGAGGAACAUCAGUGGCGAAGGCGGCCAUCUGGGACAACACUGACGCUGAAGCACGAAAGCGUGGGGAGCAAACAGG